rnacentral:tRNA from 1 species
CGGGAUGUAGCGCAGCCUGGUAGCGCAUUUGCAUGGGGUGCAAGGGGUCGGAGGUUCGAAUCCUCUCAUCCCGACCA